AAUAACAUGACCUUCCUUCUGUAGGCCCCAUUUCUCCUUUUUGGGGCAGGCCACCCUUCCCAGGCUGGGCUGAGAGAGCUGGGUGGACUGGGGACUAAGUCCACAAGGGAUGAUAUACCUGACAGUGAGUGAUGCGGAGGGGCCACCCUCACCAUGCUGCCUAUUGCCCACUUCAGAAAUGCUACACUCCCCGCUGCCCUGUACUGGUGGCAAACCCAGUGGGGACACUCCAGAUGUCUUCAUCAGCUACCGCCGGAACUCAGGUUCCCAGCUGGCCAGGUGCACCUGCAGCUGCAUGGCUUCAGUGUCUUCAUUGAUGUGGAGAAGCUGGAAGCAGGCAAGUUCGAGGACAAACUCAUCCAGAGUGUCAUGGGUGCCCGUAACUUUGUGCUGGUGCUGUCACCUGGAGCACUGGAUAAGUGCAUGCAAGACCAUGACUGCAAGGAUUGGGUGCAUAAGGAGAUUGUGACUGCUUUAAGCUGUGGCAAGAACAUUGUGCCCAUCAUUGAUGGCUUCGAGUGGCCUGAGCCCCA
rnacentral:sRNA from 1 species